CCCGCUGAACUUAAGCAUAUCAUUAAGCGGAGGAAAAGAAAUUAACGAAGAUUGCCUUAGUAGCGGCGAGCGAAGCGGCAAGAGUCCAAGUUUAAAAUCUGGGGUGUUCCACCUCCGAAUUGUAAUCUAAAGAGCGUUGCAAAAGGGGAUGUUGAAGCAUAAGUGCCAUGGAACUGGCUGUCAAAGAGGGUGAAAAUCCCGUGCUUGGCUUCGACUGAUCCGAAUGCAUAGUUUCGAAGAGUCGGGUUGUUUGGGAUUGCAGCUCAAAAUGGGUGGUAAAUUUCAUCUAAAGCUAAAUACUGGCCAGAGACCGAUAGCGCACAAGUAGAGUGAUCGAAAGAUGAAAAGCACUUUGGAAAGAGAGUUAAACAGUACGUGAAAUUGUUGAAAGGGAAGCGCUUGCAACCAGACUUGCAUGCAGUCGAUCAUCCAGUGUUCUCACCGGUGCACUUGAUUGCAUUCAGGCCAGCAUCGGUUUUGGUGGUUGGAUAAAGGCCUAGGGAAUGUAGCUCCUCUUGGGGAGUGUUAUAGCCCUAGGUGUAAUGCGACCUACUGGGACCGAGGACCGCGCUUUGGCUAGGAUGCUGGCGUAAUGGUUGUAAGCGACCCGUCUUGAAACACGG
rnacentral:rRNA from 1 species